AAAACUGUGGCCACCACAGUUUUGGAUGGCACAUUUUUUUUAGGUUAGUGGAUAGGUAUUGAUUGCGCUGCUCACUUAGCCAUUAAGGAAUCUACAGUGUGUCGCUGAGGAAAAGACGACGAAAAAAAUUAAUUUCAGUGUUAAAGUUCAUUAAAUCAGUCAUAAUCCCCUAUCGGUCUGCAACUGAAGUACAUCUGGCACUGGCCAUAUAUAUUUAUAACUAUUUAUUGGCUUAUGAGUCCGACAGAACUGAUAUCAAUCGCAGACUGUGGCCCAGCAGACACAAUCAAGUUCAAUGCCUAAGCCGCUUAAACUGCGACAAACAAAGAGAAACUCACUUAUCCGGUGAUGCUGCCGACAUUGCCGGGUGCUCGAGAGGCGUUGGACAUGGACAUGGAGCAUCCAGGACGAGACUAGGAUGCAUUGUUCUCGAGGGAAGCGAUUAAGCGGGUAGCAAAACAAAAUUAUCAAGUGGCAUCGCCGAGUGCAACUUUGACAUGGCCUGUUCAUUUAUAUAUCCCAGCUCAAACACUUUCCCGCUUCCCAGAUUCCCUGAUUCCCCUAUUUUCCUGUUUUCCCCGAUUUCCCAACGAUUAUUAAUUGUCUUGUCGGACCAAACGGGAUUAUUUUAUACUUCGUUUUACUUGUUUUUUCAGUAAGUUUACUCUGCAACUCCUACAUAUUUUAUUUGAAACUUUGCCGUGCUUACUUUUAAUUUGUCUGCGAUAUCGAGAAGUUUGUUUUGCGAUUUUUAUUUUGACUUCGCUCUUUUCAUAUUGUAAAUGAAUUGAUGAAGUUUUUCCAAGUUAAGAAAACUGACGGUGUCGUUUAUUAGUUCAUAGCGUAAAGUAUUUGGAAAGUUAAAUGCAUUUUUAAAACAGGGCACUUAGCAAAGUUGCGAAUAUACCAAUG